rnacentral:rRNA from 1 species
UACGUAGGGUGCAAGCGUUGUCCGGAAUUAUUGGGCGUAAAGAGCUCGUAGGCGGCUUGUCGCGUCGGCUGUGAAAACUCGGGGCUCAACCCCGAGCCUGCAGUCGAUACGGGCAGGCUAGAGUCCGGCAGGGGAGACUGGAAUUCCUGGUGUAGCGGUGAAAUGCGCAGAUAUCAGGAGGAACACCGGUGGUGAAGGCGGGUCUCUGGGCCGGAACUGACGCUAAGGAGCGAAAGCGUGGGGAGCGAACAGG